GCCAGGAGCCAUAUUGCUCUGCAACUCACAACUGGCAACCCCCUGAAACUAAGAUGGUAUGAGCCUGGUCAGUACCUGGAUGGGAGACCUCCUGGGAAAAACUAAGGUUGCUGCUGGAG
rnacentral:rRNA from 1 species